rnacentral:rRNA from 1 species
UUCCGGUUGAUCCUGCCGGAGGCUACCGCUAUUGGAGUUCGAUUAAGCCAUGCGAGUCGCGAGUCUUAGGGACUCGGCGUACCGCUCAGUAACACGUGGGUAACCUGCCCUAUGCUGGGGGAUAACCUCGGGAAACUGAGAAUAAUACCCCAUAGUUCACCACGCCUGGAACGGUGGGUGGAUCAAAGCUCCGGCGGCAUAGGAUGGGCCUGCGGCGUAUCAGGUUGUAGGGGGUGUAAUGUACCCUCUAGCCCUCUACGCGUACGGGUGUUGAGAGACAUCGCCCGGAGAUGGAUUCUGAGACACGAAUCCAGACCCUACGGGGUGCAGCAGGCGCGAAAACUUGGCAAUGCGAGAAAUCGUGACCAGGGAACUCCAAGUGCAUCGGGUAAGACCGAUGCUUUUCUUGACUCUUCAAAGGUCUUGGAAUAAGGGGUGGGUAAGGACGGUGCCAGCCGCCGCGGUAAUACCGGCGCCCCAAGUGGUAGUCGCUUUUAUUGGGCCUAAAACGUCCGUAGCCGGUCUGGUACAUUCGUGGGUAAAUCAACCAGCUCAACUGGUUGAAUUCUGCGAGCACGGCCAGACUUGGGACCGGGAGAGGUGUGGGGUACUCUCAGGGUAGGGGUAAAAUCCUGUCAUCCUGAGAGGACCACCUGUUGCGAAGGCGCCACACUAGAACGGAUCCGACGGUCAGGGACGAAGCCUAGGGGCACGAACCGGAUUAGAUACCCGGGUAGUCCUAGGUGUAAACGCUGUGGACUUGAUGUUGGGGGCGCUCCGAGCGCACUCAGUGUCGAAGCGAAGGUGAUAAGUCCACUGCCUGGGGAGUACGGUCGCAAGGCUGAAACUUAAAGGAAUUGGCGGGGGAGCACUGCAACGUGUGGAGCGUGCGGUUUAAUUGGAGUCAACGCCGG